rnacentral:rRNA from 1 species
GAUGAACGCUAGCGGCAGGCUUAAUACAUGCAAGUCGUGGGGCAGCAGGACUGUAGCAAUACAGUUGCUGGCGACCGGCAAACGGGUGCGGAACACGUACGCAACUUACCCUGAACUGGGGGAUAGCCCGGGGAAACCCGGAUUAAUACCCCGUAAUAUAAUGGAGUGGCAUCACUUUAUUAUUAAAGCUCCGGCGGUUCGGGAUGGGCGUGCGGCUGAUUAGGUAGUUGGUUGAGGUAACGGCUCACCAAGCCUACGAUCAGUAACUGGUGUGAGAGCACGAGCAGUCACACGGGCACUGAGGCACGGGCCCGAAUCCUACGGGAGGCAGCAGUAGGGGAUAUUGGGAAAUGGAGGCAACUCUGACCCAGCCAUGCCGCGUGGAGGAUGAAGGCCCUCUGGGUUGUAAACUUCUUUUAUAGGGGACGAAGCCUGUGUAUUCUUACGCAGUUGACGGUACCCUAGGAAUAAGCACCGGCUAACUCCGUG